rnacentral:lncRNA from 1 species
AUGCGGAAAAACAAGCAGAAAAAACAACCGCGUGCGGGUUUUCUUGUUGUGUUUUUUUUCCAGGCCCGUCCUCCCGCCCGGGAGAGGAACAAAGCGGGUGGUUAUUCCCCGCCGGCAGGGGAAGGGAUGGGGGCCGCCGGGGCUGUGCCGGGCGGGGGGGAUCGCAGCCGGAGAGGGCGGCUCGGCAGCGCCAGSCGAGAGCCUUGUUCCCUUUGGCUCCCGGCCAGGAACAGGCCUGACUUUCACGCUGCCUCCUCCGAAAUGUGCAAUUUAACCCCCGGGGCGUUUCUUCCUCCCUCCCCUGCRCCGCCCGCCUGCUCCUUCCUCCCUCUCCGGGGCCGCCGGCUCGCCCUCCGCUCCCACCUGCCCGGCGCUGGGGCAGCCGGAGCGGGAGCCAUCCUGGGGCUCGAGGGAGAGGAGGAAAACCCUUCAGGGGCACCCGGACGUGUCCCCGGGACGGGAAAGAGGGUUCCCACCCUCAUUUCCAAACUAUCCCGCUUUCCCUGUUUUUUCCCGGCCGGAUGCGGUGCCCACAGGGAGCGYGGUUAUGUUUUCAGCGCCGGCCGAGGAAGGGAGGGUGUUUGGGGCAGGGAUGCGGCCGCGGGUGGCCCGGAGGCACCGGCUCGGCCUCGCUCCUGCCUCCAGCUCCGUGGGGGAAAGCCGGGCGCCGUGGUGCGGGAUUUGGGGCAGCGCGGGCAGCAAGGGGUGUUGCAGCCCCCGGGCGCAUCCAGCGCCCCGAGGCUCAGCAUCCCUCUGCCCUCGGCAUCCAUCGCCGCGAGGAAYGGUCCGGCGGCUCGGCAUCCCUCUCCCCUYGGCACRYGCCGGCGGCUCCYGGCUCCGCGGCCGCCCCCGUGCCAUUGCAUAAGCUCCCGCGCUCUGAGUCACCCCGGCACUGGGAUUCGCGAGCGGGAAGGCUCCGGGGGCCCAGGCAGGCGGUUCACAUGGCACCGGCGGCCCUGGGGGGCCAAGCUGGUGCCAUCAGGCACGGAAAGGGAGGGAUGGAUGGAGGAAUGGAUGGAUGAAGGGAUGGAUGGACAAAUGAAUUGA